CUUCAGCCCUAAUUCAAUAAUUGUGCGACGGCAUGCUCAUACAUAUGGUCGUCAACAGCUGAGAUCACCUGAAUGAGUUUAUUUUCGAUUGCUGCGUAUUUAUUGACCAAAAAUGAAUGGGAAAGAAAUGAGAAGGUUCGGCGGCAAAUUUUAAGGGAUCAUUCCAGUCCUUUGGAUAUCCCAGAUUCCGUUUUUGUUGCCUAUUACAGGAUAAGUAAAGAAGCGUUUCAGGGAAUUGUUCGCGAUGUCCAACCAAUAAUAAAACCGUCAUCUAUUAUGGUGGAAAUAAAGCUUGCUACUACUUUGAGGUACCUUGCAGAGGGAGGAUUUCAGCGCUCGGUAGGAAAAGACAUCUCUUGCAAGAAGUACCGUGUGCAAAAUCUUACAUGAGAUGCUAAAUGCUUUGGAAAAAGCACUCUGUCCAAAAUGGAUUCAACUACAAAUGAGCGAAGAAGAAAUUAAAAUGUCGAAAGCACAUUUUUUCAACAAUUUUAGUAUUCCCGGAAUAGUCGGUUGUGUAGACGGGAGGGACACACAUAAAAAUUACGAAGCCCCACCAAAAUGAGCAUUUGUAUUUUAACAGAAAGGGUUACUUCAGCGUUAAUACGAUGAUUAUUUGCGAUUACAGAAUGCGUAUAACGGCUGUGGAUGCAUGCCACCCUGGCUCCAGUCAUGACGCCUUUAUAUUUUCUUUAAGUGGUGCCAAACAAUAUCUUUCAUCCAAGUAUGUGGGCGGAGACCAUAGAUCUUGGCUACUAGGAGAUUCAGGAUAUGGCUUGGAACCAUAUUUACUUACCCCUUAUCGUGAUGCACCCGCUGGAUCACCAGAGCACAAAUUUAAUUUACAACAUUCCAAGGCAAGAAAUAUCGUUGAGAGAGUAAUCGGAGUCCUCAAGAGCCGCUUUAAAUGUCUUCAAACAACUAUGCCAUAUGUCCCAGAGAAAGUUGUAAAAAUUAUAAAUGUAUGCAGUGCUUUGCACAACAUUUGUCGCCAUUAUAACCUGGAUGCCAUUGCUUUAGAUGUAGUGGACGAUUUUUAGGACGAAGAAGUUGCUGAUUAUAGCAGACAUCUACAAACUGCCGCUGUAUCCAUUCGAGAUGAAAUCGCAAAUAAUUUAACGCGCAUAGUUUAAUUUUCAUAUUUUUUUAUUCAAUAAAAACAUCACAUUUAAGUUAAACUUUUUGAC